UUCUUUAAUCUUCUUUCCCAAGGAAGCCAUCUCAAUCAGGUUCUAAGAUGAUCUCAUUCUGGCUCUACAAUCUGGUUCAAGGGAACCAUUUAUAUAAUCUUUGCCCCAUGGACUCCGCCUCCCCACCGUUGCACCUCUUUUUAUGCAGCUUCAAAGCUGGAGACAAACCCACCCUUAUCCUCUCAGCUUUCCAGGUCAGCUGUGGCAUUGCUGGGCAUUGUUGAGCACAGAUGGGGUCAUCUGGGCUUGGAUCCAGGCUGCAAGUGGUAUUCAGGCAUGAAAAUUGAGUGCCUCUGAUGCCAAAGAGGGGCGUCUGGGUCCGAGGUUGAAGUGUCACAUAUUUCCUGUGUCUGCCACCAGCACAGUGGCUGCAAUGCUUGGUUGCCCUCAUCAUACUGUCCUCGCUGCCUUCACUUCUCUCCACUCACGCCCACAUGGCCUGGAUUGGGGGAAGAUACUCUAAGACUCCUGAGAUACCUGCCCAACUGCCCCUCCCCAGCUGAGGAGGAAUAAACUGCUCAGAUUCCUUGUCCCUUUCCUGGAAUUAAACGCCUCACCCCACGCUCCCAGGGGUGUAAUCACCUGAGGGUGGGCAUGAGGACAAACGGGUGCUUGAAACUUUCCACCGUUACCUGGCAUCAUGGGCAGAGGGAGAGAGAAAUUCACGACAUGCCUCUGCAAGGUGACUUUGUGUAAGAAAAUGAUAAAAUAAAUAGCAGUUCUUUAUAACAUAGCAUAAAAAGACACAUGACAUUUAAAUCAAAAUGUUGUUAGUAUCUUAGCUUGUUUCGAUAAAUGUUA